rnacentral:lncRNA from 9 species
GAACCAUACUCCCUCCCUUCAGAAUGGAUGUGAGUACACUCCAGACAGACUCUCCACUUGGCCUGGGCGGAGGUGACUGGCUGGACGGAGGACUCAGGAAACAGGAUUGGGAUGCCUUGAGAAGCACCUGCCCUCCAAGACCUCAGCCAAGGAGCACAGGACUGUGCCUGGCCUCAAAAUCAAAGGUUCUGGAACACGGUGCCUCGGAAUUCCCACAAGUCUCUGGUGUGUGAGAUAACCAUGCUUUUUGCCCCUGAGGGGCUCACUGGACAGUCAGAGAGACAAUGUGAUCCAGUAUCCACGUGGCAAGGGGGCAGGUGGGUGAGAAGGGCUGUGGGUGGCUGACAAGAGCUAAGGCCUUGGAGGCAGGUGACAGAUUUGGGCAGCAGGCCCCCACCCUUUUGGAGGCUUGGAUUUAAUUUUCAAGUAACCCCCGCCCAUUUCCAUCCUGCACCUGGCUUGUUUCCUUCCGCACCUGAUCCCAUUCUAUAAUUACACACUCACUCGUUUAUUAUCUAAACCCUCCUCUGAGAAGGAAAACUCGAGAGGGAAAGCCUGUUGCCGCCUCAUCUGCCAUUUCUACCCAGAGCCUGACCGAGGCCCGUGCAAUGAAAGUGCUGGAAAAGUCCUGUCGCCUGCAUAAAGCAGUGGUUUCUUGCCCUUCACCGGAGCCUGGGACGCCGAGCAUCUGGGCCUGGAACGCGGACAUGCGUGGGAGGGACGCGAAACUGUACCGGCAGCACUGGGAAAGAAUCGCUCUUUGUCCUAACCUUCGUGUGCACCUGUUGUCCCAAAUCCUUGACAAACACUGUCAUUCGCCUUCCAAACCUUUCUGUGGAUGCAGCUCCGGGGGCGGGGGGGGGGGGGGCCGCAGGCGGGAGCGCAAGGAGCUACAUUCCGCGCAUUCCUGCCUCCUGACAGCUCCUGGUACCGCGGUUGUGAGCCUGAGAUGUCCAAAAAUUCCAGCUGACUCAUCCGUGGGUGAACAAGGCCAACACGAGGGAACGGGUGGAAUCUCCUGGGGUCUGCCUCUGACGAGGCCCCAAUUCAGAGGGGAAAGCGGGGCAGGGUGAGGGGCGAUGGCCAGGAUUCGGGCUGUUUCUGCCCGAGUGAAAGUGUCCCUUCGGGUGCCAGGAAGUGGUGACAGGUGCAUGGCGGCGUUGUGGGUGGGAACUGGGAAACCUCAGCUACCUGCAUUUGAGUUCUGGCUCCAUCUUUGGAACCUCAUUAAACCUCUCUGGGCCUCAGUGUCCUGGAGUGGAAACAGGGAGGUAAUGCUUCCGACUCCAGAGCACGGUGGUGGGGAUGAAGCAAGAAUGUGGCUUAGACACAGAGCACCGUCUUGGCACAGAGGAAUUGCUAAACAAUGAUGACUUGUGCUAGGCCAUCCCCCUUUGGACGCAAUGACGUGAGACUCGCUUCCAGGCGAGCAGGCGAGUGUGUAAUGGGUCCUUGCUUCCUCCUCCAGGGCAGAAGCUGCAAAACAGGUGGGGAGAAUGUCCCUGCCCCACUGUGGGAUUGUGGGUAGGGUGGACUCUCCCCUGUCACCCGCAGAGUGUCCAUGAGCAGAGGGCUGCAGUGCACUCAGGAAUAAGUCCACGCUGACCCAGCAGAGACUUUUCUGGUCCCUGCGACUGGCUCCAGAUGGCUUAUAACCAGAUCCCUGCCAAAUUCCUCUUACCUCCCCACCCCAGGACUUGUCUGACGCCAGAGCAUUUCUCAAAAGGGGGAAAUACAGUCUUAUCGUCACCACCUCAUCACUGCAUCCUUAUAGCCCUGGCCCGCCCUGCCUUCCAGCUAUCUCCCCCAGGGAUAUCUUUGAAGGUUUUUCCCCAGCUCUGUCCUAGGGGCUGCUGGGGAGAGCAAAGUCCGGGAAGGAGGAUGGGACACAGGAUGCGACCUUGGACCAGUCUCUGGCCUUUUCACUUUCCCGUUGUCUGUGAAAUGAGGAGGUUGGCUGAGGUCAUCCGUCUCAGCAGUUCAGCCCCAGGGAGUUCUGGCUGCUGAGGGCGGGGGAAAGCCCUGCAGAUGAACACUUGUUCCUCCUCAGAAGGAGAGCACAGGGAUUAGAUGACAAAUGGCUCUGGGUUCAAAUCUUCACCCUGUCCCCUUGCCAGCUCUGUGACCUUAGGCAAGGCUGACACCCUCUCUGAGCAGUUAUCCUAUCUGUAAAAUGGGCAUACUAAUCACCACUUCCAGAGCUGUCUUAAGGAUUAAGUGAGAUGAUGCAUGUGUGGAACUCAGCACAGUGCCUGGCACUCAUGAUAUUAUAAUAUCCCCUCCCCCCGCCGCCCCCAGAAAUACAGACUUUGUCAUCAUCACUGAAUUGCUUGCCUUAGAGAAAAACCGAGGCCAGGUGGCAGUGGUUGGUGGGAAGAGAAUUUAGACAAUAUUUCCAUGUUUCAGCUGCUGCACCAGGCCCACUUCAGAAAGAAGCUGCAAUAACUGAAGAGAAAAGUCCCAUAGUGUCUGUUCCAGCUCCCCCCUGGCUCUCAGCACAGUGCCAGGAGAUGGCUUGGCGCCUUGCUCUCAUCCUCGUGCCCAUUAGUGUAUUUCCAGAUGCUUUAGGCAGCAGGCGUGGAGGUCAGUCAGGUUCUGUUCCUUUGGAUGUCCUUUCCCGGCAGCUUUGCUUCCUCUGCUUUUCUCCAACUGGCCAGGCUUCACAAAGGGAGGGUCAGGACAGCCAGAUACUUCAUAAAUGCCCCCUUUACCAGCAACAACGUGAACAGCUUUUAGUGCUAGGAUUUCAUUGGUCCCAUCCUGCACAUGCCUGAGGCCUGGGAAGGGAUGGCCUGGGGGGUUCUGGUGACCCAGGGCAGCCAAAUUCAUAGAGCUCUCUCCUGAACACCUACUCAGCAUGGCCUCUUCACCUACAUCAUCCCAACCUUCCCAACCCCACGAAGUAGGUGACAUUAGCCCCCUUUCCUGGAUGAGGAGCUAAGACUCAGAGAAGCCAUAUAACUUGUCCAAGGUCAUCCAGCUACUGAGAGGACCCCACUGGCCCAACUUCAAAGCCCUAGUUCUUUCCAUGACAGAUGGAUGUCCUCAGGGUCUAUGAAAAGUCCAGGCCCUCCUUAGCCUUUGCUACCAGCCAUCUGUCUACUAACUGGCUCCCAGGCCAUGAACUUUAAAUGGAAACCUGGCCCAGUAAGCAGGUCGUCUGCCUUGCCUCAUCAAGGAGUUGUGUCAGCACAACUCUCCGGGAAGCAGCAGCAAAAAAAGGGGUGUGUGUGAAGGAGUGCGCAUCCAGGCCUGAGGGUGUUUAUGAAAGGAUGUGUUUGUGUUUGGGGAUGUACAUAUGCCUCUGAAUCAUUGUGUGCUAUGUGUGAGGACACGUGCGGCAUGAGAAUGUGUGCCCACAUAUGUGCUCAUGUGUGAGGGUGUGCGUGUGCACAUGUGUGUGUACAUGCGUGAGGAUUGAGGGUCUGCGUUUGUGUAUGGAUGUGUGUGCACAGAGGGUGUUUGUGGAUGCACAGACAUGUGAGACUACAUUGUGUGCAUGUGUGAGGACGUAUGUAAUCUGUGUGAAGAUGUGCAUGCACACGUUUGUACACAAGAUGCACAUGUGUUCCCUCGUGUGAGUGUGUGUGUGUGCAUACUACUGUGAAGGCAUGUGCUUGUGUGAGGAUGUGCGGACUGUGAAACAGGAUAAACGCGUGCGCGCUAGUGUGUGGGCCUGUGUGUGUAAAUACACGUAUGCGUGAGGGCGUAGUCUCCUAAGUGCGUCUGCGCAAACGUCUGAGGGCAUGUGUGCAUGCUCAGAAAGCUGGGCGAGGAGGGACGGUGGGGGCGGGAACACUGUGAUGGCGACCAGAUGAGUUUUCUGUUUCGUGAGACUUCUUUGGUGUUGAGUACCAGGCGUUUCCCAGCACUGAGGACAAAUUAAAAAAAAAAGAAAAAGGGUAUUUAUAUUCUCACGUGAUCAGAGGGCAGCAUUCAAGCACAGAGUGGGUUUCUCUUCCUGGAAGAGUGAACCUGUUCCCUCCUCGGGGGUAUCGCAGAUGAAGGUUUACCUUGGCCGCCUGCGGACCCUGCAGGCCCAGCGUCCUGGACCAACCCGGCCCUGGCCGAUGCUCCCGCUCCACCUCCGGGCGUGGCUCCCCGUCUCAGGGCAGAUUAACAUCCCUGGCACCGGCUUUGUUUAGGCUCAUUAAGGAGGAGCCGCUGAGAGCGCAGGCCUCUCCCUUCCACCCCGGGGGCCUGGUUCUGCUGAAAACACUUGAUUUAGAACUUUUCGCGUUGCUUUCCCUGGCUUGGUGUCCGGGCAGAUGGGGAAACACCUAGGGCCCGGGCUGUUUUAUCUGCUGCGAUUGAGGAGAGGGAUUUAGUUUCCCCACGGAGGCGGCUCCAACUGGAGUAGCCCCAGCGGGUCUGGGCUGUUUGCUGAGUGUCUGCUCC